AUGAACGCUGGCGGCGUGCCUAAUACAUGCAAGUCGAGCGAACAGACGAGGAGCUUGCUCCUCUGACGUUAGCGGCGGACGGGUGAGUAACACGUGGAUAACCUACCUAUAAGACUGGGAUAACUUCGGGAAACCGGAGCUAAUACCGGAUAAUAUAUUGAACCGCAUGGUUCAAUAGUGAAAGACGGUUUUGCUGUCACUUAUAAAUGGAUCCGCGCCGCAUUAGCUGGUUGGUAAGGUAACGGCUUACCAAGGCAACGAUGCGUAGCCGACCUGAGAGGGUGAUCGGCCACACUGGAACUGAGACACGGUCCAGACUCCUACGGGAGGCAGCAGUAGGGAAUCUUCCGCAAUGGGCGAAAGCCUGACGGAGCAACGCCGCGUGAGUGAUGAAGGUCUUCGGAUCGUAAAACUCUGUUAUUAGGGAAGAACAAAUGUGUAAGUAACUAUGCACGUCUUGACGGUACCUAAUCAGAAAGCCACGGCUAACUACGUG
rnacentral:rRNA from 1 species